UACGUAGGGUGCAAGCGUUUAAUCGGAAUUACUGGGCGUAAAGCGUGCGCAGGCGGUUGUGCAAGACAGAGGUGAAAUCCCCGGGCUUAACCUGGGAAUGGCCUUUGUGACUGCACGGCUAGAGUGUGUCAGAGGGGGGUAGAAUUCCACGUGUAGCAGUGAAAUGCGUAGAGAUGUGGAGGAAUACCGAUGGCGAAGGCAGCCCCCUGGGAUAACACUGACGCUCAGGCACGAAAGCGUGGGGAGCAAACAGG
rnacentral:rRNA from 1 species